rnacentral:tmRNA from 1 species
GGGGUUGACUGGUUUUGACAGCGUGUCGAAGUGGUGUGUAAGCAUGCAGAGAAAUGAUGCCCGCUCUCUUUAAACAGAGACAUCUGCAAUUUUAAAUGGCGAAAACAACUACGCUCUUGCUGCUUGAUUGAAGUACAGUAGAUCAGCUUAAUCUCCGCGACAGUCGCAGAGACAAGACAUCACCCGAUUGUUAACGUUCCGAGACUAAUCGACACGGUGGUGCAGGUAAAUCGGAAAUAGGAUGCAAGCAGCCUCGGCGAGCAUCCGAAACUUUAGGGGCUAAGGCAUCGGUUGGCUGUCGCUUGCCUGCCGUUGCACGAAAACCAACAAGUGAAUAAGCAUGUAGAAAGCACAUUAGUUCCGCGUUUGGACGAGGGUUCGAAUCCCUCCAGCUCCACC